rnacentral:tRNA from 1 species
UCUCUGGCGGUUCAGUGGUUAGGACUUGGCACUUUCAUUGCUGGGGCCUGGGUUCAAUCUCUGGUCAGGGAA